AUGUGGAUGGUGAUACUGCUCCUCGCAGGAAGGCUGGCGGCAGCAAUUGCCGAGCAAGAACCGCCCAUCACAAUUCAUCCAGACUGCCCCAGCCAGUGCGGGGACAUGAGCAUUCCGUACCCCUUUGGCAUGAAACCUGGCUGCUUCCUCCCGGGCUUCGAGGUCACCUGCAACGACACAUUCAUUCCUCAUCGCGCCUUCAUCGCGUACGGAGCAUUCCAGCAGAGUAUGACGGGGUUCUACACUCCUCCAGACCAAGGCAACGAGACUUUCGUACUGAAUGAUGGGCUGGUUAAUACACCGAUGGAGCUCAUGGACAUCUCGCUCUCUUCAGCUUACGUGCGGGCAUAUGCCAUGGUGAGCUCCGACUGCAAAAUAAACUCAACCCACCACUCCUUCGUCCGUCGUCGAACAUAUGCCCCCGCUCCUUCUUUUCUCAUCUCAGCAAGCCACAAUGUUCUCAUCGGCGUCGGAUUGAACGUCGAGGCUGAGCUCUCCGACUCGAUGCAUGGCACCUUUGGAACCGAAAUAAGCAGGUGCACUUCCCUUCCUACCAGAGUAAUCGCCAAAGAUGGCCCGUGCAGAGGUCAAGGCUGCUGUGAGGCUGCCCUACCCAAUGACGUGCCAUUCAUAGCGCCGGUGGCUGACAAGAAGAGGACAGAGUGGUGGAGGGCCGGCACCAACUGCUCCACAGCAAUGCUGGUGCACAAGGGAUGGUACAACUACUCCUCGGCGGAUGUCUACGGCGGCGAGGCCUACUUCUCCAACAAAUUCCCCAAGGGCGUCCCCCAAGUUUUCGACUUUGCCAUCGGGAAUGGUUCUUGCCCUGCGCAAGGCCAGCCCUCACCCCAGGGCUAUGCGUGUCUCAGCGGCAACAGCUCGUGCCUCGACGCUACCAACAGGACCGGUUAUGUCUGCAAAUGUUGGGAGCACUACGAUGGCAACCCUUAUGUUCCUGGUGGAUGCCAAGACAUCGAUGAGUGUGUUCUACGGGAGCGGCAUCCUCAGCUCCAAGCUCUGUACCCAUGCUCAAGUGGCGGGAUCUGCAAGGACAGGUUAGGAGGCUACGACUGUCCUUGCAAGCCCGGGAUGAAAGGCGACGGUAAGACAGGAACCUGCACCGAGAAAUUCCCGCUACCAGCUAAGGUGGCUGUAGGCGUUGUAGGUGGUAUUUCUAUCGCUUUUGUCCUUGUGCUGUUUGUUCUUUUCAUGAGUGAGAGGAAAAAGAUGAGACAAUCUUUCAUAAGAAAUGGUGGUCCUUUACUGGAGAAAAUAAACAAUAUCAAGAUCUUCAGAGAGGCGGAGCUAAAGAGAAUCACAAAAAACUAUAGCCAUGUCCUUGGAAGUGGUGCCUUUGGUGUGGUAUACAAGGGGUUUCUUGAUGAUAGACAUAUAGCAGUGAAGAAGUCCAAAAAUAUCACUAAAGCACAGAAGGACCAGUUUACAAAUGAGGUCAUUGUCCAAUCACGAGUUAUCCACAAGAACAUCGUGAGACUCAUAGGUUGCUGUUUAGAGGUUGAUGUUCCUAUUUUGGUAUAUGAGUUUAUCUCCAAUGGUAGCCUUGAAGACAUCCUCUAUGAUAAAAGCAGAAUUCCUCUCACAAUUGAUCAACGUUUAGUCAUUGCUGCGGAAUCUGCAGAAGGUCUCGCUUAUAUGCAUUCGAAGACAUCUGCCAACAUCCAACAUGGUGAUGUUAAACCAGCAAACAUACUUUUGGAUGAUACUUAUACACCAAAAAUAUCAGAUUUUGGAAUAUCAAGGUUAAUUGCCAGAGGUGAUGCACAGCACAGCGAAGAGGUCAUUGGUGACAACAAUUACAUGGACCCAGUCUAUCGAGAAACUGGCCUGUUGACCGACAAAAGUGACGUUUAUAGCUUUGGUCUUGUGCUCUUUGAGCUCAUCACUGGAAAGAAAGCAAAUUGUGGUGAUAAUUGCAGCUUUGUUCUCAAUCACCUUGGCACAUACACAAGAGAUAACAGAGCAAAUGUCAUGUAUGACAUGAAAAUCAAAGAAGAGAAGGACUUUGAGCUUCUGCAAAUUCUUGCUGAGAUUGCCAGAAAGUGCUUACACCAUAAUGUCGAGGAAAGGCCAGAGAUGACAGAUAUAGCUGAAAGUCUCCAGAAUAUCAGAAAAGCACGCAAUAAAUAG
rnacentral:rRNA from 1 species